GCGUCGAUGGUGCAUGAAUUCAACACACGCUCCUGGAAAGAGUGAGAUCUGGGUUCGAAUCCCAACUGACGCA